AACAUCGCGCACCUGCGGGAACCUGCGGAAGGAUCAUUACCGAGUUAUACAACUCAUCAACCCUGUGAACAUACCUAUAACGUUGCCUCGGCGGGAACAGACGGCCCCGUAACACGGGCCGCCCCCGCCAGAGGACCCCCUAACUCUGUUUCUAUAAUGUUUCUUCUGAGUAAACAAGCAAAUAAAUUAAAACUUUCAACAACGGAUCU
rnacentral:misc_RNA from 1 species